UGGGGAAUAUUGCACAAUGGGCGCAAGCCUGAUGCAGCCAUGCCGCGUGUGUGAAGAAGGCCUUCGGGUUGUAAAGCACUUUCAGCGAGGAGGAAAGGUAGUGUGUUAAUAGCACAUUGCAUUGACGUUACUCGCAGAAGAAGCACCGGCUAACUCCGUGCCAGCAGCCGCGGUAAUACGGAGGGUGCAAGCGUUAAUCGGAAUUACUGGGCGUAAAGCGCACGCAGGCGGUCUGUUAAGUCAGAUGUGAAAUCCCCGCGCUUAACGUGGGAACUGCAUUUGAAACUGGCAAGCUAGAGUCUUGUAGAGGGGGGUAGAAUUCCAGGUGUAGCGGUGAAAUGCGUAGAGAUCUGGAGGAAUACCGGUGGCGAAGGCGGCCCCCUGGACAAAGACUGACGCUCAGGUGCGAAAGCGUGGGGAGCAAACA
rnacentral:rRNA from 1 species